CAUCGUUUUAUGAUUAAUAAUAUAAAAUUUGACCUGCCCAAUGAAAAUUUUAAAUGGCCGCGGUAUUUUGACCGUGCAAAGGUAGCAUAAUCAUUAGUUUCUUAAUUAGAAGCUGGAAUGAAUGGUUGGACGAGAAAAUGACUGUCUUUAGUUAAAUUAUUAGAAAUUUAUUUUUAAGUUAAAAAGCUUAAAUUCUUGUGAAAGACGAGAAGACCCUAUAGAGUUUUAUUUAUUUAAUUUUUAUUAUAAAAUUAGUUUAAGAAUUUAUAUAUGUGUUAAUAAAUUUGAUUGGGGUGAUUGGAGGAUUUAAUAAACUCUUUUUAUUUUGUAUUAUUAAUUUAUAUUUUAUUGAUCCAUUAUUUAUGAUUAGAAGAUUAAAUUACCUUAGGGAUAACAGCGUAAUUUUUAUGGAGAGUUCUUAUCAAUAUAAAAGUUUGCGACCUCGAUGUUGGAUUAAAAUUUAUUUUUGGUGGAGAAGCUGAAUAAUUAAGUCUGUUCGACUUUUAAAAUUUUACAUGAUCUGAGU
rnacentral:rRNA from 1 species